UCGGGAAUUUUGGGCAAUGGGCGAAAGCCUGACCCAGCAACGCCGCGUGAAGGAUGAAGUAUUUCGGUAUGUAAACUUCGUAAGAAUAGGAAGAAUAAAUGACGGUACUAUUUGUAAGGUCCGGCUAACUACGUGCCAGCAGCCGCGGUAAUACGUAGGGACCAAGCGUUGUUCGGAUUUACUGGGCGUAAAGGGCGCGUAGGCGGCAUGACAAGUCACUUGUGAAAUCUCUGGGCUUAACCCAGAACGGCCAAGUGAUACUGUCGCGCUAGAGUGCAGAAGGGGCAAUCGGAAUUCUUGGUGUAGCGGUGAAAUGCGUAGAUAUCAAGAGGAACACCUGAGGUGAAGACGGGUUGCUGGGCUGACACUGACGCUGAGGCGCGAAAGCCAGGGGGGCAAACGGGAUUAGAUACCCCAGUAGUCCCUGAGCGGGCUGGCAAGGCGCAU
rnacentral:rRNA from 1 species